rnacentral:rRNA from 1 species
GAUGAACGCUAGCUACAGGCUUAACACAUGCAAGUCGAGGGGAAACGAUAUUGGAAGCUUGCUUCCGAUAGGCGUCGACCGGCGCACGGGUGAGUAACGCGUAUCCAACCUGGCCCAUACCACGGGAUAGCCCGUCGAAAGGCGGAUUAAUACCGUAUGCUGUCAUUAAGAUGCAUAUAUUGAUGACGAAAGGACUGGCGGUAUGGGAUGGGGAUGCGUCUGAUUAGCUUGUUGGCGGGGUAACGGCCCACCAAGGCGACGAUCCAUAGCCGGCCUGAGAGGGUGAACGGCCACAUUGGGACUGAGACACGGCCCAGACUCCUACGGGAGGCAGCAGUGGGGAAUAUUGCACAAUGGGGGAAACCCUGAUGCAGCGACGCCGCGUGAAGGAAGAAGUAUCUCGGGUAUGUAAAACUUCUAUCAGCAGGGAAGAUAAAUGACGGUACCUGACUAAGAAGCCCCGGCUAACUACGUG